CCUACGGGUGGCAGCAGUGGGGAAUAUUGCACAAUGGGCGCAAGCCUGAUGCAGCCAUGCCGCGUGUGUGAAGAAGGCCUUCGGGUUGUAAAGCACUUUCAGCGGGGAGGAAGGCGUUAAGGUUAAUAACCUUGGCGAUUGACGUUACCCGCAGAAGAAGCACCGGCUAACUCCGUGCCAGCAGCCGCGGUAAUACGGAGGGUGCAAGCGUUAAUCGGAAUUACUGGGCGUAAAGCGCACGCAGGCGGUCUGUCAAGUCGGAUGUGAAAUCCCCGGGCUCAACCUGGGAACUGCAUUCGAAACUGGCAGGCUAGAGUCUUGUAGAGGGGGGUAGAACUCCAGGUGUAGCGGUGAAAUGCGUAGAGAUCUGGAGGAAUACCGGUGGCGAAGGCGGCCCCCUGGACAAAGACUGACGCUCAGGUGCGAAAGCGUGGGGAGCAAACAGGAUUAGAUACCCUAGUAGUC
rnacentral:rRNA from 1 species